rnacentral:lncRNA from 1 species
CAAUAAUUUUUACAUCAUAUAAUUUAUACCGACAUUAUUAGUUAUGUAUAGUCACUAUGGAUAAACCUUCGCGGAGGCUACUACACUGCCCAUAAUGCAAGACUCUUGAACUUGACUCCAAUCUAGGUUGUAUAAGACUGUCUACCGGUUUUAGAGGGACAUCUCCAGUAGAAUUACCUGACUGACCCUUAGAUUUGUGAUCCGCAAUACGUGAUUCCGAAUUGUCGUCAAAAAAAGCAAACACAGCGGGAUGUAAAUGAUCUUUUAAAUGACUGACCCAUAAUUGAUUUAUAUGGACUUUCCUUAUGAUAUUGCUAGACUAACCCUUACUAAGUUUAAACAUCUGCUUAAGCACUUACAAAUUCUACCAGUAACCCAUUUUACUGGGCCUUUUUCCCCCCUACGACUGACCAAGACAGGAUCCUUAAUUUUAAAGUUUUGCGAAGUGACGUUACUGUUGCCUGGCGAUAACCUUGAGGCUUUAUUAAGGUUACCA